rnacentral:lncRNA from 1 species
CUCUUGGCACAUAUUGGAAACGUUCACCAGAACUACCUGGUUUGAAAAGGCAUCUGCCUAAGGAUGCUGUUCUAGGCACUGUUUUAAUACAUUUUUCCUUGAAGUUUUCCUUCCCUCUAUUUCCUUGUAUUUAUGUAUUUGUAAAAUGACAUCAAAGACGGAGCCUUUCUUAGGUCUUAAUUUCUCUACCAAGUGGUAGCAUCUGAAUAUCCUUAACAAAGGUAUGGAAACCACCGCCUGGGAUUAAAGCAUCAGUGAAGAUGCUGCUUUGGAGAGAUUCAGAUUUUAGAGAAGAAAGGAGGUCAUGAGAGAUCAUUACUUUAUCACUGAACUGGAAUUAUUGGGAGGAAAACCAACUAUAUCCAAGCUACUGGAAGAUGCACAACCACUGAUAAUUAGGAAGAAAUAAAACUGAUAACUAAAUGAAUGUGCAGUUUACACGCAAAGGUAACCUUUUAUUCUUUCCAAUUAGGCUUUCUCCUGUAGGCUUGGCAGAUGAGGCUGUGUUAUAAAUAGAAGUGGUAUUUUGUAGGGUUCUUCAAACUGAUGUGUACAUGAGGUCAAAUUAUAAUCAAG